UACAGAGGUGGCAAGCGUUGUUCGGAAUUACUGGGCGUAAAGGGCGCGUAGGCGGCCUUCUAAGUCAGACGUGAAAUCCCCCGGCUUAACCUGGGAACUGCGUCUGAUACUGGGAGGCUUGAGUAUGGGAGAGGGAUGUAGAAUUCCAGGUGUAGCGGUGAAAUGCGCAGAUAUCGGGAGGAACACCGGUGGCGAAGGCGGUUCUCUGGGCCUUACCUGACGCUGAGGAGCGAAAGCGUGGGGAGCGAACAGG
rnacentral:rRNA from 1 species